UAAAUAGGUGCUUGGAGAUAGCCCAAAGCCACCCACCAAAUAUGACUACCCAAGGAGAACUCCAGACCCAACCAAGUGCCAUUAUUGAUCAACGGAUUAUGACUCGACGAUGACAACCCACUACUAAAGUGCUAAUACAGUGGGCGAACCUACCAACAGAAGAUGCCACUUGGGAGAACUAUGAUGACUUGAAGAUCAAAUUCUCAGAAUUCAUGAAUCAUCAGCCUCGAGGA
rnacentral:lncRNA from 1 species